GCCGAAGUGGCGGAACUGGUAGACGCGCUAGGUUCAGGGUCUAGUGGGUGAUAUGCCCGUAGGGGUUCGAGUCCCCUCUUCGGCACCA
rnacentral:tRNA from 1 species